rnacentral:lncRNA from 1 species
GGGACCACACUUCACAAAAGGGAGCAAGAAGGCAGAUAACGGCAAAGAAAAAUGUUUGUAGUUUACUGUGGAGGACCAAGUGAGUUUAUACAGAUGUUUACCUCCUUUGGGAUUAUUUGCUGCUGGCUAGAAUGAAAAGACAAACAUUCCCUUCAAACAGUAUGCCAUUGCCUAAUAAUUUUGCAAGCUCAAAUGAAAUCCAACCAAAUUCAGAAUUUAGAUUUUCCUACUGGCUUGUGUAAUUUUUGUUUGUAUGGGAUAGAAUCAGGUUCCAUCUUUUAUUCUCCUUCAGAAUAUCAUUAACAAAGAAAACUUUGAAUGUUAGUUGGUGGGAUAGAUACAUUGACACUGUUUACAUAGCACUGUUUCCUACUCGGGCCUGCACACAAACAUUCGCACACAUUUUCAUGUACACACACUCCUGGGGAGGUCAAUGAAUAUUACAAUUCUUCUUCUGGAAAUAAUCCUUAAGAAUGAAUGAGCAAAAGACACAGUUUUCAACCCUAUUUUCUCUUCUCUUUCUCUCUUUUUCUUCCCUCUGUUCUUUCUCUCUCUCUCUUUUUUCCUUCUUUUUAUUUUUUUCUUCCUGGAGAGGUUUCUGAAGUUCAACAGUGAUUCUUUAAUUAAGAGAAAAAAAAAACCACACAUACACACACUAGAGAACAAGAAGGAAUAGUAAACAGUUCCCUCCACUGCUAGAGGGGUUAGUUACAAAAUAAACAUUUCACAGACUGGACCACAUCUCCUGUAAUGAGACAGCUCUGGCUAGUGAGACUGCAGCUAAAG